UUUACUCCCAAUUCCUAAAUUCAGUUGGUGAAUGUUCAUAAGGAUUUUAUUCUUGUACUAAUUUUUGUUUCAGUUGUGUAAGAUUGAUUCAGAGGGAAAGGCUAGGAAGGUAACUGGUUGCUCAUGUGUGGUUGUUAAGGAUUUUGGGGAGGAACAUGAAGCCUAUAAUGUUGUUCUGCAGCACGUGAAAGCUAACUAAGUUAAAUACCUAGAUUUGUGGGUUUCAGUUUGGUGUUAUUUUAUUAGUCUUUGAGGAAUAUUUUUGCCUCUGGAGUAUCUGCAUAGGGAUUUUGACUAUUUACAAUCAUACCCAUUCUCAUUGUUGCUGAGUGAAUGGUUUUUUCUUACUAUUGAUUUUCUGUGUUUUUUA